AUAAUGCAAGUGUUUAACAGAUGCUUCACUAUUAAAAUAUUUCCCCCCCAAGUCUCAAAUAUUGAAGAAUCUCUAACCAGGCUCGAAACGCCGGUCUCAGUGGCUAUUGAGUUACCCACCAAGUUACCCCGGUUAGAGCUGUUUGGGGUGGCUCACGUUAUUGCGGCAAACUUUGGAGAUGACGGCUGAGUCCUCCGGGCGAACAUGUCAAGCCGAUUGUAAAUGCUGUUAUUUCCACAUCCUUCAGGGACACCAGUCCCUACGAAGACCUUGGGCGAUUUUGAAGUGCGGGCACCUCGAUUCCCCGAAUCUGUAGUGUGGCUGGUAUCGGUGUUCCCCUGGUUUAACUAGCCUGUUUGAAGGCACAGAUCAUUCAUGGGGAAGUAUAACCGAAACCAGUCCUCUCCACCCCCUGGGGAUCUUCACUUUCCCAGUCUACAACUGCCUGUGACUCCAGAAAGACAAACUGCAGAUUGGCCAAGCUGCCUGAAGACCCAGCCCGACAGCGAUGCCUGUCAGCCCGCGUCGCCCACCAGGGCAGCUGCUCUCCCGACUCG
rnacentral:antisense_RNA from 1 species